GCAGGCCUAAUAUUGCAAGUCGAACGGUCUCUUCGGAGGCAGUGGCGGACGGGUGAGUAACGCGUGGGAACGUGCCCUUUGGUACGGAACAACUGAGGGAAACUUCAGCUAAUACCGUAUGUGCCCUUCGGGGGAAAGAUUUAUCGCCAUUGGAGCGGCCCGCGUUGGAUUAGCUAGUUGGUGGGGUAAUGGCCCACCAAGGCGACGAUCCAUAGCUGGUCUGAGAGGAUGAUCAGCACACUGGGACUGAGACACGGCCCAGACUCCUACGGGAGGCAGCAGUAGGGAAUCUUGCGCAAUGGGCGAAAGCCUGACGCAGCCAUGCAGCGUGAAUGAUGAAGGUCUUAGGAUUGUAAAAUUCUUUCACCGGGGACGAUAAUGACGGUACCCGGAGAAGAAGCCCCGGCUAACUUCGUGCCAGCAGCCGCGGUAAUACGAAGGGGGCUAGCGUUGCUCGGAAUUACUGGGCGUAAAGGGCGCGUAGGCGGAUAGUUUAGUCAGAGGUGAAGCCCAGGGCUCACCUUGGAAUUGCCUUUGAUACUGGCUAUUUGAGU
rnacentral:rRNA from 1 species